GACGAACGCUGGCGGCGUGCCUAAUACAUGCAAGUUGAGCGCUGAAGGUUGGUACUUGUACCAACUGGAUGAGCAGCGAACGGGUGAGUAACGCGUGGGGAAUCUGCCUUUGAGCGGGGGACAACAUUUGGAAACGAAUGCUAAUACCGCAUAAAAACUUUAAACACAAGUUUUAAGUUUGAAAGAUGCAAUUGCAUCACUCAAAGAUGAUCCCGCGUUGUAUUAGCUAGUUGGUGAGGUAAAGGCUCACCAAGGCGAUGAUACAUAGCCGACCUGAGAGGGUGAUCGGCCACAUUGGGACUGAGAAACGGCCCAAACUCCCACGGGAGGCAGCAGUAGGGAAUCUUCGGCAAUUGAGGGAAGUCUUACCGAGGAAAGCCGGGGGAGUUAAGAAGGUUUUUGGAUCGGAAAACUCUUGUGGUAGAGAAGAACGUUAGGGGGAGUGAAAAGCUCACCAAGUGACGGUAACUACCCAGAAAGGGACGGCUAACUACGUG
rnacentral:rRNA from 1 species